GAAGUAUGAUAAGCAAUGCGAAUUGCAGAACCGUGAGUCAUCAGAUUUUUGAACGCAACUGGCGCCGGCUGGAUCUCCAGUCGGAAUGCUUGUUUCAGUGUCUUGUUUUCUCCUCACCCAAACCUUAAUGCGAGAGAUACCCUUCUCUUGUUAAACAGGAAAGCACUCUGCGCUCUGCAGGCGGCUUCGUAGACUCGUUCUUGAAGCUGCGCUUAAUGCUGUCGUCACAUUUCUCAAAGUGUGAACUCAUUGAGAGUAGAGGCAUGUAGUUUAUUCUACCAGUGUUUAGUCACACAAACUUUCUUUGCAUCUGAAAUCAAGCAGGAUCACCCGCUGAACUUAA
rnacentral:misc_RNA from 1 species